AACGUAGGUGGCGAGCGUUAUCCGGAUUUACUGGGCGUAAAGCGUGUGCAGGCGGGGUGACAAGUGGUGUAGUGAAAUCUCCGGGCCUAAACCUGGAGGGGUUAUGCCAGACUGUCAUUCUAGAGUGCGAGAGAGGGGCGUGGAAUUCCGGGUGUAGUGGUGAAAUGCGUAGAGGAUCCGGAGGAACCCCAGAGGCGAAGGCGGCGCCCUGGCUCGCAACUGACGCU
rnacentral:rRNA from 1 species